rnacentral:lncRNA from 1 species
ACUAUCUGAAGAAAGUUCAUGCUAAAAAUAUGAUAUGAUUAAUGGAUAAAUAUGAUCAGAUAUCUGCACCAAGUUCUCAGCCUGAUAAGGAGAAUCCUUUUGUGUCAACCUAAUGAAGCAUUCAAAGAAGUCAUAUGACUCUUUUCAAGAUGAACUUGAAGAUUAUAUUAAAGCACAGAAAGACAGAGGCUUAGUUAGAGUCAAGACUUGUUCCAGGAAGAUGAUAGAGAACUAUUUGGAAACCUGUGGGUACAGAGAAGAGGUUGAUUCCAGACCCAGAUAUAGAAUGUUUGAUCAAAAACUCCCAUCUGGAACUGUCCAGACCUACCCAAGAUCAUGCA